GGAGCAUGUGUUUAAUUCGAAGCAACGCGAAGAACCUUUACCAGGUCUUGACAUCCCGAUGCUAUUCUAGAGAUAGAAAGUUACUUCGGUACAUCGGUGACAGGUGGUGCAUGGUUGUCGUCAGCUCGUGUCGUGAGAUGUUGGGUUAAGUCCCGCAACGAGCGCAACCCCUAUUGUUAGUUGCCAUCAUUCAGUUGGGCACUCUAGCGAGACUGCCGGUAAUAAACCGGAGGAAGGUGGGAUGACGUCAAAUCAUCAUGCCCCUUAUGACCUGGGCUACACACGUGCUACAAUGGUUGGUACAACGAGUUGCGAGUCGGUGACGGCGAGCUAAUCUCUUAAAGCCAAUCUCAGUUCGGAUUGUAGGCUGCAACUCGCCUACAUGAAGUCGGAAUCGCUAGUAAUCGCGGAUCAGCACGCCGCGGUGAAUACGUUCCCGGGCCUU
rnacentral:rRNA from 1 species